rnacentral:rRNA from 1 species
UACGGAGGGUGCAAGCGUUAUCCGGAUUCACUGGGUUUAAAGGGUGCGUAGGUGGGUAUGUAAGUCAGUGGUGAAAUCCCCGAGCUUAACUUGGGAACUGCCAUUGAUACUAUAUAUCUUGAAUGCCGUAGAGGUAAGCGGAAUAUGUCAUGUAGCGGUGAAAUGCUUAGAUAUGACAUAGAACACCAAUUGCGAAGGCAGCUUACUAUGCGGUUAUUGACACUGAGGCACGAAAGCGUGGGUAGCAAACAGG